UACGUAGGGGGCAAGCGUUGUCCGGAUUUAUUGGGCGUAAAGAGCGUGUAGGCGGCCAGACAAGUCUGCUGUGAAAACUCGAGGCUCAACCUCGAGCUGUCGGUGGAAACUGUCUGGCUAGAGUCCGGAAGAGGAGAAUGGAAUUCCCGGUGUAGCGGUGAAAUGCGCAGAUAUCGGGAAGAACACCCGUGGCGAAGGCGGUUCUCUGGGACGGUACUGACGCUGAGACGCGAAAGCGUGGGGAGCGAACAGG
rnacentral:rRNA from 1 species